rnacentral:rRNA from 1 species
AUUGAACGCUGGCGGAAUGCUUUACACAUGCAAGUCGAGCGGCAGCACGGGGGCAACCCUGGUGGCGAGCGGCGAACGGGUGAGUAAUACAUCGGAACAUGCCCAGUCGUGGGGGAUAACACUUCGAAAGAAGUGCUAAUACCGCAUACGUCCUGAGGGAGAAAGCGGGGGAUCGCAAGACCUCGCGCGAUUGGAGUGGCCGAUGUCAGAUUAGCUAGUUGGUGGGGUAAAGGCCUACCAAGGCAACGAUCUGUAGCUGGUCUGAGAGGAUGAUCAGCCACACUGGGACUGAGACACGGCCCAGACUCCUACGGGAGGCAGCAGUGGGGAAUUUUGGACAAAGGGGGCAACCCUGAUCCAGCCAUUCCGCGUGAGUGAAGAAGGCCUUCGGGUUGUAAAGCUCUUUCGGCAGGAACGAAACGGCGAGCUCUAACAUAGCUUGCUAAUGACGGUACCUGAAGAAGAAGCACCGGCUAACUACGUG